GAUGAACGCUGGCGGCGUGCCUAAUACAUGCAAGUCGAGCGAACAGACGAGAGUGCUUGCACUCUCUGACGUUAGCGGCGGACGGGUGAGUAACACGUGGGUAACCUACCUAUAAGACUGGGAUAACUUCGGGAAACCGGAGCUAAUACCGGAUAAUAUUUAGCUUCGCAUGAAGCAAUAGUGAAAGACGGUUCUGCUGUCACUUAUAGAUGGACCCGCGGUGUAUUAGCUAGUUGGUGAGGUAACGGCUCACCAAGGCAACGAUACAUAGCCGACCUGAGAGGGUGAUCGGCCACACUGGGACUGAGACACGGCCCAGACUCCUACGGGAGGCAGCAGUAGGGAAUCUUCCGCAAUGGACGGAAGUCUGACGGAGCAAUGCCGCGUGAGUGAAGAAGGUGUUCGGAUCGUAAAACUCUGUUGUAAGGGAAGAACAAGUACGUUAGUAACUGAACGUACCUUGACGGUACCUGACCAGAAAGCCACGGCUAACUACGUG
rnacentral:rRNA from 1 species